rnacentral:tRNA from 1 species
GGGCCUAUAGCUCAGCUGGUUAGAGUGCACCCNUGAUAAGGUGAGGUCACAAGUUCA